rnacentral:rRNA from 1 species
CCUACGGGAGGCAGCAGUGGGGAAUAGUGGACAAUGGGGGCAACCCUGAUCCAGCCAUGCCGCGUGUGUGAAGAAGGCCCUCGGGUUGUAAAGCACUUUCAGUGAGGAAGAACGCCUGGUGGUUAAUACCCAUCAGGAAAGACAUCACUCACAGAAGAAGCACCGGCUAACUCCGUGCCAGCAGCCGCGGUAAUACGGAGGGUGCGAGCGUUAAUCGGAAUUACUGGGCGUAAAGCGCGCGUAGGUGGCUUGAUAAGCCGGUUGUGAAAGCCCCGGGCUCAACCUGGGAACGGCAUCCGGAACUGUCAAGCUAGAGUGCAGGAGAGGAAGGUAGAAUUCCCGGUGUAGCGGUGAAAUGCGUAGAGAUCGGGAGGAAUACCAGUGGCGAAGGCGGCCUUCUGGACUGACACUGACACUGAGGUGCGAAAGCGUGGGUAGCAAACAGGAUUAGAUACCCCUGUAGUC